rnacentral:rRNA from 1 species
CCUACGGGCGGCUGCAGUGGGGAAUAUUGCACAAUGGGCGCAAGCCUGAUGCAGCCAUGCCGCGUGUGUGAAGAAGGCCUUCGGGUUGUAAAGCACUUUCAGCGGGGAGGAAGGCGUUAAGGUUAAUAACCUUGGCGAUUGACGUUACCCGCAGAAGAAGCACCGGCUAACUCCGUGCCAGCAGCCGCGGUAAUACGGAGGGUGCAAGCGUUAAUCGGAAUUACUGGGCGUAAAGCGCACGCAGGCGGUCUGUCAAGUCGGAUGUGAAAUCCCCGGGCUCAACCUGGGAACUGCAUUCGAAACUGGCAGGCUAGAGUCUUGUAGAGGGGGGUAGAAUUCCAGGUGUAGCGGUGAAAUGCGUAGAGAUCUGGAGGAAUACCGGUGGCGAAGGCGGCCCCCUGGACAAAGACUGACGCUCAGGUGCGAAAGCGUGGGGAGCAAACAGGAGUAGAUACCCCAGUAGUC